AGCUAUAUAAUGGCUGCUUGGAGUCGGG
rnacentral:sRNA from 1 species